UUCUGUUUGUGUUCUUGACAGGUGACAACUUCAUGACUUGGGUUGUACUCUCAGCAUUUGUUCAUUUAGAGAUAAGAGAAAGCUGAAGACUUGCCUGCUGGAAGUUGAAUGUUGGAGGUGACUGGGAUGCAGAUAUCCAUGCCUUGAGUUGCUGCUGCUUUACUGAGAGGACCCACAGGGGUGGGCAGAGGAACUUCUAGAAUUCAGCUUGUCCCAUGGGCACCUCACUGCUCUUCCAGCUUUCAGUGCAUGAAAGAGAGUGAGACCCAGUUUUACUGGACCACAGCUAUGCCAAGCCAUGGAAUGCCAAACCAGAUGCCAGUAGUGCCCACCCCACCUGCAUGACCUUUGUUACUCCCCUGAAGCAGCACCAGGAUACCAUGCUUGUAAUGAGCCAGUGCUGCAUCAUGAAGCUGUGGACAAGUGUGCAAGACGGGUGCGGCAGGCCCUGACCAGCGAGAGUUGGGACACCAAGAUGAUCCAGUGGCUGCACACGACCCUGGUGGAGACCUUGAGUCUGCCCAUGCUGGCUGCCUACAUGGAUGCUUUGCAGACACUGAAAAAGAAGGGAAGGCUAUGGUUGGUGUCUGCCCUGUGCUGGGGGCCACCAGUCCCUGUGAUGCAUUCAGACAUGGGGUUGGGUAAAUUCUUUAUGUGGUCAGUUUGGAGGGCAUGGCUAGCAGGUAUGCUAAUAAAAAUAGGAGACAAUGUCUUGUUUUUACAUUUGA